UGGGGAAUUUUGGACAAUGGGCGAAAGCCUGAUCCAGCAAUGCCGCGUGUGUGAAGAAGGCCUUCGGGUUGUAAAGCACUUUUGUCCGGAAAGAAAUCCUUGGCUCUAAUACAGUCGGGGGAUGACGGUACCGGAAGAAUAAGCACCGGCUAACUACGUGCCAGCAGCCGCGGUAAUACGUAGGGUGCAAGCGUUAAUCGGAAUUACUGGGCGUAAAGCGUGCGCAGGCGGUUUGCUAAGACCGAUGUGAAAUCCCCGGGCNCAACCUGGGAACUGCAUUGGUGACUGGCAGGCUAGAGUAUGGCAGAGGGGGGUAGAAUUCCACGUGUAGCAGUGAAAUGCGUAGAGAUGUGGAGGAAUACCGAUGGCGAAGGCAGCCCCCUGGCAAGUACUGACGCUCAUGCACGAAAAGCGUGGGGAGCAAACAGGAUUAGAUACCCUGGUAGUCCACGCCCUAAAACGAUGUCAACUAGUUGUUGGGGAUUCAUUUCCUUAGUAACGUAGCUAACGCGUGAAGUUGACCGCCUGGGGAGUACGGUCGC
rnacentral:rRNA from 1 species